rnacentral:rRNA from 1 species
GGGGAAUUUUCCGCAAUGGGCGAAAGCCUGACGGAGCAAUACCGCGUGAGGGAGGAAGGCUCUUGGGUUGUAAACCUCUUUUCUCAGGGAAGAACAAAAUGACGGUACCUGAGGAAUAAGCAUCGGCUAACUCCGUGCCAGCAGCCGCGGUAAUACGGAGGAUGCAAGCGUUAUCCGGAAUGAUUGGGCGUAAAGCGUCCGCAGGUGGCAUUGCAAGUCUGCUGUCAAAGGUCAGGGCUUAACCCUGAAAAGGCAGUGGAAACUGAAAUGCUGGAGUGCGGUAGGGGUAGAGGGAAUUCCCGGUGUAGCGGUGAAAUGCGUAGAGAUCGGGAAGAACACCAGUGGCGAAGGCGCUCUACUAGGCCGCAACUGACACUCAUGGACGAAAGCUAGGGGAGCGAAUGGGAUUAGAUACCCCAGUAGUCCUAGCUGUAAACGAUGGAUACUAGGCGUUGAGAGUAUCGACCCUCUCAGUGUCGUAGCUAACGCGUUAAGUAUCCCGCCUGGGGAGUACGCGCGCAAGCGUGAAACUCAAAGGAAUUGACGGGGGCCCGCACAAGCGGUGGAGUAUGUGGUUUAAUUCGAUGCAACGCGAAGAACCUUACCAGGGCUUGACAUUUCCGGAACCCCAGGGAAACUUGGGGGUGCUUACGGGAGCCGGAACACAGGUGGUGCAUGGUUGUCGUCAGCUCGUGUCGUGAGAUGUUGGGUUAAGUCCCGCAACGAGCGCAACCCUUGUUUUUAGUUGCCAGCAUUAAGUUGGGCACUCUAGAGAGACUGCCGGUGACAAACCGGAGGAAGGUGGGGAUGACGUCAAGUCAGCAUGCCCCUUACGUCCUGGGCUACACACGUACUACAAUGCUACGGACAAAGGGAAGCAAGCGUGCGAAUGCAAGCAAAUCCCAUAAACCGUGGCUCAGUUCAGAUUGCAGGCUGCAACUCGCCUGCAUGAAGGCGGAAUCGCUAGUAAUCGCCGGUCAGCCAUACGGCGGUGAAUACGUUCCCGGGCCUUGUACACACCGCCCGU